ACAGACCCUCAUUCUCCGGCACUUGUGGUGAAACGGCGGAUUCAGUGGCCUGUGAAUUGUCCAACGACGACUACUACGAAGGCGAGGCAGGACAACUCUCUGGAUUGGAAACAAGUGAGCUUUCCCCUCCGGAUCACAACAGCAGCACUUUCUCGUCUCCUUUUCAACCAUCCAAACGCAAAAGUACGUACAAACACACUGUAACUACUCUGGUCUUGAAAGAACGUUACGCAUCGAACUGAUGUCCACUAAUCACGUUUAUUUCCUUCUUGGUACAAUUAUGAAACACCGUGAAAAUACAUCGUUUACACUUUUAGCGCCCUUUUCACUCUCAUAAACAUCCGGGCUAGAGGUCACAUGACUGCCGGUAAGAAAACUUAUCAUUUUUGGACAAAGUUCAAGCGUACAUUAAGCACU